CGAGACUGUGCGAGCUCAGGCGUCCUGCCUGCGACACUUCAGUGAGGAACUUGGAGUGAUGAAGUCCGUUAGGCUUGAUUCAAAAAUGAACUAAAGCCUGAAUAGCCUGCAGGUAUUCUUCUGUGAUUUCUAUCAUCUGACAACUGCAGAUGGAUGACAUGAAUAUCAAGAAAAUUAUGAUGUAAACAGCUCUGAGAAGAUGCUGGUGUCUUAGAAAGGAAUCCACCUAUCCUGAAUAUUUGAUGGGGCAGAAGUAGAAGAGCAAAUGCCAGGAACUAACCAACACUUCCCUCUCAUUUUUCCGAAUGUUUUUAUCCCAGCAUACCUUUUCUAGUACCUUUAUCUAAUGUUUGUGAACAUCAGCCUCAGAUGUCUGAAAUGUCUGUUGUCUAAAGACAGCAGAAGCCUGCCCAGAAAAAGCUGGGUUCCAACUACUCUUUUCCAGUUGAUUCUUUCACUUUGUCUCAGGAUGUUUGCAGGAUUCCUCAUCACCCUACAAAUUCUUGAUUUCAAACAGUUUUCUAUCUUAGCAGUGUUUUCUCAAAUUUGCUUACUUAUGCUGCUUUGAUGUGGACAUUAUUUCCUUAAUUUCAUGUUUCCCUCUAUCAAUUCUCUUAAGAUUGAUUUGCAAGAGGGAAGUCUGCAGCUUGUAUUAAAUUUGAUUCUUUGUAGGCAUCUCAAACAAGUUGUUUGUUACAUUUGCAUACUUAGCAUUUUGUGUGGUGUCUGGGUCAUAGAAAGGCCUCAAAAAAAUAUUGCCUACUGAUCACUUGAAGCCUCAAGACUUCAGGAAAGCAAGUUAUCCCUUAAAUUCAAGAUGAGGUAAUUUAUGUCUCAGUGACUCAAUAAAGACUUUAAUCACAGGUGAAAUAAAUAUUUCACACUUAACAUAGUGGAUAGUUUUAUAUAUGCAUCUUUAUUUUGCUUACUGCCACGGUAAGGUUCUAAUUAGAAAUUAGCAAAGAGAAACAGGGGAACCAGAACCCAGAUGCGUGUCCCAGUUCUGUGUUAUACCUUGCUGGAGGCACUGAUUUUAACCCUCUAAAUUUUGCUUAUAAUUUCAGGGUCAUUCUGCCAA